rnacentral:lncRNA from 1 species
GCCAGGGCCGAGACACAUCCGCACCAGCCCGUCUGCGCCGCGAGCCUACGGCCUGAUUUCUCCCCCUCCAUUGUUGUAGCUAACACAAAAGGCUACAACUCCAGUGUGGUCAAGGGGCCUGCGCUGAAUUACGCGCCAGGCCAUUCUUUGGGCCAGAGCCUUUGUGGGUUGGGAUGCAUCCCCUCUCCGUGCCAGAACUCCGGGCUGUCACACGCAGGCUGAAGCGCUUCGCAAGCGUGGGCGAGUUGUCUCCCUCCCUCCCUUCGUUACAUCCACCCACCUACCGCCUUUGUUCCUUUCAGCUGGCGGCCAGGCCCUCGUUUGCCUUUUGGCUGUGUUAAAUGGACAGUGUAACAAUGACUUGCUGAGGGAGACGUGCAUGAAGAGCAGUGGUUCUCAGAGCAUGUUCUCUGGAUCAGCAACAUCAGCAUCAUCCAGCAACUUGUUAGAAAUGCAAAUUUUCGGCCCCUCCGCAGACUUGGAGAAUCAGAUGAGUGAGGUCCAGCCCUCCAGGCACAAAUGACGGCGCCCAGUGCGUGGGCUGUCGGGCCCCAGUGCAGAAGCCAAAAGGGCCUCUUGGACACCUGCCCCUGUGAGAUUCUGAGUGAUAUCAUCCUCAUUUAUUAAUCCCCACUGGCUGAAGAAUACCACCCGCCCCUUUAUGGCCAUCAGAAUCACUGAAGGGUGAACUAUUUUGUCCAUGGAGCCUAGAAGGAGAUUGUGAAGACCCAGAAAAUGUCAUACUUCCUUGCAGAGGUCUGAGGGUGGUGAGGUAUGCAGCUGAACUUGGUGCAAGGCCUCAAAAACAAGAGGAGUGGAGCCGUAGUAGUCCAGUUAGGUAUUGCUGCAUAGCAAACCAUCUCAAAAUGUAGUGGCUUAAAACAGCAGCAAUUGAUUAUUCCUCAUAUUUCUAUGGGCUGAUCAGGCAGUUCUAGCUCACAGAGUGUCA